rnacentral:rRNA from 1 species
AGGAUGAACGCUGGCGGCGUGCCUAAUACAUGCAAGUCGAGCGAACGGACGAGAAGCUUGCUUCUCUGAUGUUAGCGGCGGACGGGUGAGUAACACGUGGAUAACCUACCUAUAAGACUGGGAUAACUUCGGGAAACCGGAGCUAAUACCGGAUAAUAUUUUGAACCGCAUGGUUCAAAAGUGAAAGACGGUCUAGCGAUUCCGACUUCAUGGAGUCGAGUUGCAGACUCCAAUCCGUAAGGUAACGGCUUACCAAGGCAACGAUGCAUAGCCGACCUGAGAGGGUGAUCGGCCACACUGGAACUGAGACACGGUCCAGACUCCUACGGGAGGCAGCAGUAGGGAAUCUUCCGCAAUGGGCGAAAGCCUGACAGUUUAUCACCGCGUGAGUGAUGAAGGUCUUCGGAUCGUAAAACUCUGUUAUUAGGGAAGAACAUAUGUGUAAGUAACUGUGCUUAACUUGACGGUACCUAAUCAGAAAGCCACGGCUAACUACGUGCCAGCAGCCGCGGUAAUACGUAGGUGGCAAGCGUUAUCCGGAAUCUCUGGAUGUCAAGAGCGCGUAGGCGGUUUUUUAAGUCUGAUGUGAAAGCCCACGGCUCAACCGUGGCGGGCCAUUGGAAACUGGAAAACUUGAGUGCAGAAGAGGAAAGUGGAAUUCCAUGUGUAGCGGUGAAAUGCGCAGAGAUAUGGAGGAACACCAGUCAAGGGCACAACCUCCAAAUCGACAUCUGACGCUGAUGUGCGAAAGCGUGGGGAUCAAACAGGAUUAGAUACCCUGGUAGUCCACGCCGUAAACGAUGAGUGCUUCGUCCAGGGGGGUUUCCGCCCCUUAGUGCUGCAGCUAACGCAUUAAGCACUCCGCCUGGGGGCUACACCUGCAAGGUUGAAACUCAAAGGAAUUGACGGGGACCCGCACAAGCGGUGGAGCAUGUGGUUUAAUUCAGGGCAACGCGAAGAACCUUACCAAAUCUUGACAUCCUUUGACAACUCUAGAGAUAGAGCCUUCCCCUUCGGGGGACAAAAUUCCGGGUGGUGCAUGGUUGUCGUCAGCUCGUGUCGUGAGAUGUUGGGUUAAGUCCCGCAACGAGCGCAACCCUUAAGCUUAGUUACGGUCAAUUGGAUGAGCGUACUAAGUUGACUGCCGGUGACAAACCGGAGGAAGGUGGGGAUGACGUCAAAUCAUCAUGCCCCUUAUGAUUUGGGCUACACACGUGCUACAAUGGACAAUACAAAGGGCAGCGAAACCGCGAGGUCAAGCAAAUCCCAUAAAGUUGUUCUCAGUUCGGAUUGUAGUCUGCAACUCGACUACAUGAAGCUGGAAUCGCUAGUAAUCGUAGAUCAGCAUGCUACGGUGAAUACGUUCCCGGGUCUUGUACACACCGCCCGUCACACCACGAGAGUUUGUAACACCCGAAGCCGGUGGAGUAACCUUUUAGGAGCUAGCCGUCGAAGGUGGGACAAAUGAUUGGGGUGAAG